rnacentral:rRNA from 1 species
GACGAACGCUGGCGGCGUGCUUAACACAUGCAAGUCGAACGAUGAAGCCCAGCUUGCUGGGUGGAAGAGUGGCGAACGGGUGAGUAACACGUGAGUAACCUGCCCUGAACUCUGGGAUAAGCACUGGAAACGGUGUCUAAUACUGGAUACGACCUAUCACCGCAUGGUGUGUGGGUGGAAAGAUUUAUCGGUUCUGGAUGGACUCGCGGCCUAUCAGCUAGAUGGUGAGGUAAUGGCUCACCAUGGCGACGACGGGUAGCCGGCCUGAGAGGGUGACCGGCCACACUGGGACGGAGACACGACACAGACUCCUACGGGAGGCAGCAGUGGGGAAUAGUGCACAAUGGGAGGAAGCCUAAUGCAGCAACGCCGCGUGAGGGGUGACGGCCUUCGGGUUGUAAACCUCUUUUAGUAGGGAAGAAGCGAAAGUGACGGUACCUGCAGAAAAAGCACCGGCUAACUACGUG